rnacentral:rRNA from 1 species
CCUACGGGUGGCAGCAGUGGGGAAUAUUGCUCAAUGGGGGCAACCCUGACGCAGCAACGCCGGGUGAUUGAUGAAGGCCUUCUGGUUGUAAACAUCUUUAAUUGGGGACGAAACAAAUGACGGUACCCAAAGAAUAAGCUCCGGCUAACUACGUGCCAGCAGCCGCUGUAAUACGUAGGGAGCAAGCGGUAUCCGGAUUUACUGGGUGUAAAGGGCGAGUAGGCGGGCUGGCAAGUUGGGAGUGAAAUCCCGUGGCUUAACCCCGGAACUGCUUUCAAAACUGCUGGUCUUGAGGGAUGGAGAGGCAGGCGGAAUUCCGUGGGUAGCGGUGAAAUGCGUAGAGAUACGGAGGAACACCAGUGGCGAAGGCGACCUGAUGGACAUUAACUGACGCUGAGGAGCGAAAGCGUGGGGAGCAAACAGGAUUAGAUACCCUAGUAGUC